ensembl:lncRNA
CUCUGGUUUGCGUUAGCGCCUGCUUGGUGUGGAUACAAGAAUGCGACUGAAACGCUUUAGUAGCAAACUUUUUGGAUGCUUUGAUGAUGGUUUUCCCACACGGACGGCUUUGGUUGCAAGAAGAGGAACUUCUAACUCACCAGCUGGCUGCCUCGUACCUCACAGUCAGCUUUGUUCAAACCGGAUCAUGUGAUAUCUGCUAGACACAACAAAAACAGGUUCCCUGAUCACCAUUCAAAUGUGACCCCCAAUGCUUGUGAUUAGCAACAACCGCUCCACACAGGUGUUCGCACCUAUGAUGAUGCGAUGGAUGCCCGGCGGUGUUUGAUUUUCUAUAACCAGCUCAGACUGGAUGUCUGCUCGCACAGCGUGAAGGAAGCACCAAUGGUAGCCUUUUGUCGCUAAAUCAAAGGCCCCCACAGAGGAGAAAAUGGCAUGCUGGGACCAAAACAGAUGGCGAUGGAUCUUUAAAUGACCCCUUUUCACAGACCAGCGUGUGUUGAACACACGCUCACUUAAAGGUGGCCUCGUAUGCUACUGUAGGAGUGUGUGUGUGUGUGUGUUUCUGGUGGUGUGUGAUUUCUGUGAUGCCAUCAAUUCUGAAGCUAAUGGACCAAUUUCCGAGGUGUUGAGCUUUAUACGCACCGAAUGUGAUGAAGUCUGUGUGUGUGUGUGCUUGUUUGUUUGUAUAAGUGUACAUGUUUUCAUGUUUCCGACGCCAUCAAUCUCCAAACCGAUGGGCCAAUCCUUCAAUGCCAAAGGUGAUGAGGGGCACUUUGUUGAUUGUAAAAUCAAUGCCACGGUUCUCCUGGCCGAUGGUUCCCACAGCGUAGAUUUCUGGCUCCUGGCUUCCCGCAAGACAGCUUGAUUUUGCUGUUAUUUCAUUCUUCCCCUGUAUUUCACUCCACACCAUUGGUAAUUUCCCCAGACGAAUCUAUCAAGUGGAUGAUAUUUUAGUAUUCAAUGGUAUGUUAUUCAUAUCAUCCAUCCGUUAGACUCUGAGGGUAUGACAUUGGGAUGCUGUUAUGGGGGGGGAUUAUUUCUGUGUGCACUGGCUGUUGAGUUUAGUGUAUUUGUCUUUAAGGGUUUGUCUACCCACACAUUAACCCAAGGCCAUCAGACAUGGAUCGCAUCAAUGCAGUGCUUCACUUUUACUCCUCUUCAUUCUACUCGUGCAAUUGAUGGGGAUAAGCCAUAGGUUUUAGGGUUGGUGGGACAGCUUGGAAGUCAUGAGCCCAAAAUGAC